UGGAAGAGAAGAAAAGACAGUCCCGCAGUUAGGCACGGGCCAAAGCACACCAGGACUUCCCUGGAGAAAGAGGAAAAUGAGAUGAGGCAGGAGUCUGGUGAAGUACAACUGGUCCAUGUGCUGCUCGCUCAAGGGAGGAAGGGCUGUUGGCUUUCUCCUUUCUCAGGGAAGGGACACAUGUGAGGACGUGGACGUGGCCUCCUGGAAGCGUUGGCAGACUCAUUCCCCAACAGGCCACUGGGAUGGAAGCCCAGGCACAUUACCAGGUGAAGGGAUGACCCUUCCGAACUUGACACCACAAACUGAGUGAAGUCAGAAAUGUGGGUCAGAGGCCACAUGGCAUAAAGCACUGGACUACUCUUUCCAAGUAUAGAAAAGGCUCACAUCCCCCCCUACCCUCCCCCCAGGAGAAAUAACUGGGCCCUCCUGUUUCCACAUAAGCAUCACCUGCUGAAGAGAGAUGUAGGUGCCUUCCAGCUCCAAGCCUCUCAUGUACUGAAGACCCAACUUCCCACCACUCUCCCUUGAAGCACUCAUCAAACAAGAGUAAACUUUCAUCCUAAGCCAAACCAGCAUUUUCCAAAAGACAACACAGGGCUUCCUAUGUCUAUCUUCCAGCACAGAUCUAGGAAAGGAAAUCAGUCAACCUCAUCUAUCCAGACAAAAAGACACCACAUCCAUCAUCAACUAAUAGCCUGCAUUUGAGUGGCUUUUCAAUGCAAAUUUGGAUUAAGUAUAUAUUUGUACAUAUACAUAUUUAAUGAAAAAAUACACAUAGCUAUGAGUUAUGUUUUCACUCACUGGUUCUCACAAUUCAAUAUCAAUUAAAAUGAACUACUGAGCCUAA